rnacentral:snRNA from 1 species
AGCUUUGCACAGUGGCAGUAUCAUAGCCAAUGAGGUUUAUCCGAGGCAUGAUUAUUGUUAAUUGAAAACUCUCUUAAAAAUUCCUGACAUCAUUUAUUGUGCCUUCUUUUUUUUUUAUCACCUCACCAGGA